GUACAUUGAAGAAACGCAGCUACACCUUGCACCCCUCAACGGCCUGAUGCCAUACAACAAGAGGCUACAGCAGCUGGUUCGGCGCCUCGCAGCCAAGCAUCGGUAGUGCUAUCCUUCUGGAGCUGUAUGGCUGGCCCCACCCACUAAUCACCUCUUGUGCUCUGUACGGCGGACGCAACCCAGCCUUGCGCCCCUCACAUGCCUGAUGCCGAAGACAUUUAAGAAGAGACUGCAGCUGGACCUGUGCUGAAAUCGUGGUCCCUGUCCUGUGGCCGGCUGUUUUCACCCAGAGUUGAAUUGACGCAGGGUCCAUUCCGAUUGUGUUUAUUGUGUUGUCUUUGGAAUGCGCACAUGGGCUUCAUAUAGAUUCACUACCAUAGUUGCGGUCUAGGUUGUCCCUUCAUCCAGUUGGGGCUUGUCGUGGGGUUUUCAGGCUGGGCUGUCAGGCUGGGCUGUCAGGCUGGGCUGUCAGGCUGGGCUGUCAGGCUGGGCUGUCAGGCUGCAGUCUUGCAUGUGGUGUGCAUGCAGAUGAUCUUUCUACCGUCUAUGUCAGCACGGUGCAACGGUGCUUUGGAGUAUCACAGCCGCAGGAUGAAUUAAAGCAUAAGCAAAUUUCAAGAGUUCAAAACCAUACACCCAGGUCCUUUGAACCUACAGUACGACUGCAAGCGACGACCAAUCCGAUUUGUCGCGCCACAUGAGAAACCCUAAGUUAACAGAUCUGAACUAGUUUGUAGCUACGGUUAUCACGGUACAGGGCUCAACACAUGCAUGGUAGCCCCGAGAAAAAACAUUAUCAGGGGUACCUGUGUGAC
rnacentral:lncRNA from 1 species